AGGCUUAGAAGUGGGGUAGCCGGGGUAUAUGUCUGACUUUGUGUUUUGGUGGGGUGGUGAUGAGUGGGUGUAGAAACUAAUAGUGCCAAGUGCAGUGCCUGUCAACUAGACACUGGGUCCCCUAGGAGCCUCCCCAGGCUUAAUGAUUGUCCAGAAGGUGGCUAUAAAGGGAGCUUGGGAGGCAGGGUGGAGGAGGGAGCAGAAAAAACCCAACUCAGCAGAUCUGGAAACUGUGAGAGCGGCAAGCAGGAGCUGUGGUCAGAGGCUGUGCGUCUUGGCUGGUAGGGCCUGCUCUUUUCUACCAUGGCAGCCCAGGGCUAUGGCUAUUAUCGCACUGUGAUCUUCUCAGCCAUGUUUGGGGGCUACAGCCUGUAUUACUUCAAUCGCAAGACCUUCUCCUUUGUCAUGCCAUCAUUGGUGGAAGAGAUCCCUUUGGACAAGGAUGAUUUGGGGCUCAUCACCAGCAGCCAGUCGGCAGCUUAUGCUAUCAGCAAGUUUGUCAGUGGGGUGCUGUCUGACCAGAUGAGUGCUCGCUGGCUCUUCUCUUCUGGGCUGCUCCUGGUUGGCCUGGUCAACAUAUUCUUUUCCUGGAGCUCCACAGUACCUGUCUUUGCUGCCCUCUGGUUCCUUAAUGGCCUGGCCCAGGGGCUGGGCUGGCCCCCAUGUGGGAAGGUCCUGCGGAAGUGGUUUGAGCCAUCUCAGUUUGGCACUUGGUGGGCCAUCCUAUCAACCAGCAUGAACCUGGCUGGAGGGCUGGGCCCUAUCCUGGCAACCAUCCUCGCCCAGAGCUACAGCUGGCGCAGCACGCUGGCCCUGUCUGGGGCACUGUGUGUGGUUGUCUCCUUCCUCUGUCUCCUGCUCAUCCACAAUGAACCUGCUGAUGUUGGACUCCGCAACCUGGACCCCAUGCCCUCUAAGGGCAAGAAGGGCUCCUUGAAGGAGGAGAGCACCCUACAGGAGCUGCUGCUGUCCCCUUACCUGUGGGUGCUCUCCACUGGUUACCUUGUGGUGUUUGGAGUAAAGACCUGCUGUACUGACUGGGGCCAGUUCUUCCUUAUCCAGGAGAAAGGACAGUCAGCCCUUGUAGGUAGCUCCUACAUGAGUGCCCUGGAAGUUGGGGGCCUUGUAGGCAGCAUCGCAGCUGGCUACCUGUCAGACCGGGCCAUGGCAAAGGCGGGACUGUCCAACUAUGGGAACCCUCGCCAUGGCCUGUUGCUGUUCAUGAUGGCUGGCAUGACAGUGUCCAUGUACCUCUUCCGGGUAACAGUGACCAGUGACUCCCCCAAGCUCUGGAUCCUGGUAUUAGGAGCUGUAUUUGGUUUCUCCUCGUAUGGCCCCAUUGCCCUGUUUGGAGUCAUAGCCAAUGAGAGCGCCCCUCCCAAAUUGUGUGGCACCUCCCACGCCAUUGUGGGACUCAUGGCCAAUGUGGGCGGCUUUCUGGCUGGGCUGCCCUUCAGCACCAUUGCCAAGCACUACAGUUGGAGCACAGCAUUCUGGGUGGCUGAAGUGAUUUGUGCAGCCAGCACAGCUGCCUUCUUCCUCCUACGAAACAUCCGCACCAAGAUGGGCCGAGUGUCCAAGAAGGCUGAGUGAAGAGAGUCCAGGCUCCGGAGCACCAUCCCACGGUGGCCUUCCCCCUGCACGCUGUGGGGGAGAAAAGGAGGGGCCUGCCUGGCUAGCCCUGAACCUUUCACUUUCCAUUUCUGCGCCUUUUCCCUCACCUGGGUGGCACUGGAAGUUAUCAGUGGCUAGUGAGGUCCCAGCUCCCCGAUCCUAUGCUCUAUUUAAAAGAUAACCUUUGGCCUUAGACUCCAUUAGCUCCUAUUUCCUGCCUUCAGACAAACAGGAAACUUCUGCAGUCAGGAAGCCUCCUGUACCCUUCUUCUUUUCCUAGGCCCUGUCCUGCCCCCAUCCCCACCAGAAGUGAGGCUAUCCCUGCAGCUGCAGGGCACUAAUGACCCUUGACUUCUGCUGGGCCCUAAGUCCUCUCAGCAGUGGUCGACUGCUGUUGCCAAUACCUCAGACUCCAGGGAAAGAGAGGAGGCCAUCAUUCUCACUGCAC
rnacentral:sRNA from 1 species